GACGAAGGGGGCUAGCGUUGUUCGGAAUUACUGGGCGUAAAGCGCGUGUAGGCGGUUGCCAUAGUCAGGUGUGAAAGCCUUGAGCUUAACUCAAGAAAUGCACUUGAUACUGGGCGACUAGAGGACCGGAGAGGAUAGUGGAAUUCCCAGUGUAGUGGUGAAAUACGUAGAGAUUGGGAAGAACACCAGUGGCGAAGGCGGCUAUCUGGACGGUUACUGACGCUAGGACGCGAAAGCGUGGGGAGCAAACAGG
rnacentral:rRNA from 1 species